UUGAAACCGGAUAUAGCUUUAAUAAUUGAAAAGAAAAAAAUUGUAAGAUAUUUUACUAAUUGUUUGUCCGAAAUGGGAUUCAAAGCAAGAUAUUUUAGAAAAUGUUGGUCGCUGUUCUGAACGUAAGGUGGGGAGUGCUCGAUGCCAUAGGACCAUGGUUUCCUGUUCAGCUGCGUCCGUACCCUGUCAAAUAACAAAACUUGGAUGUUAGAUUUACCAUAUUAACGAAGCCAAGAGGUAGAGGAAAGCAUAUAUUUGUGACUAUGUUGUAAUGAUUGUAGGAUUACAUUUUUUCUCCGGAUUUUAAUAUUAGUAACUGGAUAUUUGAAAGUAGUGUGCAUAUCUA
rnacentral:lncRNA from 1 species